rnacentral:rRNA from 1 species
AUACGGAGGGGGUUAGCGUUGUUCGGAAUUACUGGGCGUAAAGCGCACGUAGGCGGAUUGGAAAGUUGGGGGUGAAAUCCCAGGGCUCAACCCUGGAACUGCCUCCAAAACUAACAGUCUAGAGUUCGAGAGAGGUGAGUGGAAUUCCAAGUGUAGAGGUGAAAUUCGUAGAUAUUUGGAGGAACACCAGUGGCGAAGGCGGCUCACUGGCUCGAUACUGACGCUGAGGCGCGAAAGCGUGGGUAGCAAACAGGAUUAGAAACCCUAGUAGUCC